rnacentral:rRNA from 1 species
AUGUACAUACAUACAUACACUCGGAAUCAACAAUCACAACAUGCUACAUCAAAAACUGAUGAUAAAACCGACGAAGACGAGCGUGCAGGCCUUCCCUGCAAGAGUCCCGAGCUGCACCUGCACGGUCUCCAUCCUCAGCGCGGCGGCUAUGGCGAAGUUGACACCAAGCGAUCAGCUUGGUGGGGGAGGUUAGCUUGA